rnacentral:lncRNA from 10 species
CAGGCGUGGGCCACUGCGCCUGGCAAAUUGAGCACUUUCUUUUUUUUUUUUUGAGACCGGGUCUUGCUCUGUCACCAGGCUGGAGUGCAGUGGCCCAAUCUCAGCUCACUGCAACCUCCACCUCCCAGGUUCAAGCGAUUAUCCUGCCUCAGCCUCCAAGUAGCUGGGAUUACAGGCACGCGCCAUCACGCCCGGCUAAUUUUUUGUAUUUUAGUAGAGACAGGGUUUCACCGUGUUAGCCAAGAUGGUCUCGAUCUCCUAACCUCAUGAUCCACCCACCUUGGCCUCCCAAAGUGCUGGGAUUACAGAUGUGAGCCACCGUGCCCUGCCAAAUCGAGCACUUUCUAAGUGCCCACCUGUCAGCGUCACCCCAGGCUUUCCCAUCUCAGCCCGUGGCUCCACUCUCCUCUAGCUACUUUGGCCAAAAACCACAGAGUCAUCUUGGAUCCCAAUUUUUGCUUCACCCCCACAUCCAAUCUUUCGGCGAGUCCCGUCUGCUUUACCUCGGCACAUCAUCAGUGCGCUCAGUGCACUUCCCAGCCACCUCCCACGCUGGGCUGCUAACCUUCUGCCAGGUCACCAUAGCUACCACCAGCUCCUCCUGACCCUUUGGCCUUGGUCUCUAAAACCCAUUCUCCUCUCAUCAGAGUGACCUCAUCCCAGCAUCAUUCUGACCAUUUCUCAUCUUAAAGUCCUCAAAAGGGUCCUAUCAGAUAUUAACAAUUUUUAAAGAAAUUAAGACAGAAUGGCUUUGGCAUCUGGCUAUUAAAAAAAAAGGGUAGGGGGGGCCGAGUGCGGUGGCUCAUGCUUGUAAACCCAGAACUUUGGGAGGCCAAGGUGGGAGGGUCCCUUGAGCCCAGGAGUUCGAGACCAGCCUGGGCAACACAGAGAGACCCUGUCUUUACAAAAACAAAAUUAGCUGGGUGUGGCGGCACAUGCCUGUAGUCCUAGCUACUUGGGAGACUGAGGUGGCAGGAUCACUUGAGCCUGGGAGGUUGAGGCCGCGGUGAGCUGAGAUCAUGCCACUGCACUCCGGCCUGGGUGACAGAGUGAGAGCCCAUUUAAAAAUGAAAAAUAAAGGGAAAAAAAAGGACAGAACAGGAGUCCCGGAGACAGAACCUUGCAUAAAUGAGAAUUUGCCGUAUGACAGAGAAGCAUCACCAACCAGUGGGGAAAAGAUAGACUCUUUUAUAAAUGGCGUUGGGACAAGUGGUGAUCCAUAUGGGAAAGUAAAAUUAGAUCCCCACCUAACACCACACACACAACUCCAGGUGGAUUCAGGACUUACAUGUGAAUAACAAAAUUUUAACACAUUUAGAAGAAAAUAUAGAAGAAUAUUUUUAUGACCUCAGGGUAAGGAACAAUUUCUUUUUUAAAUAAACUUUUUGUUUGAUUACAACAUGCAUAGUGUACAAGUCAUAAGGGUGCCGCUUGAUGAAAUUUCACAGUGACCCCAGCUGUGUAGCCAGCAUCCAGAUCAACAAGCGGGAUGUAAGGCCAGGCACGGUGGCUCACUCCUGUAAUCCCAACACUUUGGGAGGCCGAGGAGGGCGGAUCAGAAGGUCAGGAGUUUGAGACCAGCCUGGCCAAUAUGGUGAAACCCCGUCUCAACUAAAAAUACAAAAAUUAGCCCGGCAUGGUGGCACACACCUGUAGUCCCAGCUACUUGGGAGGCUGUGGCAGAAGAAUCGCUUGAACCCUGGAGGCGGAGUUUGCAGUAACCCGAGAUCGUGCCACUGCACUCCAGCCUGGCGAAAGGGCGAGAAUCCGUCUAAAAAAAAUAAAAAUAAAAAACACAACAACAAAUGGGACAUAGCCAGUGCCUUCCAAAGCCCCCACGUGCCUCUUUUUUUCUUUCUUUUUUUUUUUUGUUUGAGACGGAGUCUUG